rnacentral:rRNA from 1 species
UACAGAGGAUGCGAGCGUUAUCCGGAUUUAUUGGGUUUAAAGGGUGCGCAGGCGGCACGGCAAGCCGGCGGUCAAAUCGCGGGGCUCAACCCCGCCCAGCCGUCGGAACUGCCGGGCUAGAGUGGGCGAGAAGUGCGCGGAAUGCGUGGUGUAGCGGUGAAAUGCAUAGAUAUCACGCAGAACUCCGAUUGCGAAGGCAGCGCACCGGCGCCCUACUGACGCUCAGGCGCGAAAGCGUGGGUAUCGAACAGG